CUCUUACAUAACUUCUUCCUCUUCGGGAGUGAAAUCAUUCUUGAUAUUGAACGUCUUCCUGAUCUCCUCCGGAGUCUUUCCCUUAAUCAUGUCAGCAACUGUUUGGCAAGUCAGAUCCAGAAGGCUCUUGAUGUUCAGCACUUUCUUCUUCACAAAGGGAACGAUUUGUCUUGUGUUCUAUCCUAUUUGGCCACCUCCAAAUGCCAUGUUCCCUGCACGCGCGCUUUAUUGUUGACCUUCCAACUCUUCUUCCCAAAAUGUGAUUCGAGAACCUCAGCGCUAAGAUUGAGGGAGGAUUUUCUCUUCUCUCUUUCUCGUGUACUGAAAUGUGAGUUAUCAACGGGGCAUUCUUUGGCGAGUUGUUCUUCUUCG